rnacentral:rRNA from 1 species
GAUGAACGCUGGCGGCGUGCUUAUCACAUGCAAGUCGAACGGAAAGGCCCAAGCUUGCUUGGGUACUCGAGUGGCGAACGGGUGAGUAACACGUGGGUGAUCUGCCCUGCACUUCGGGAUAAGCCUGGGAAACUGGGUCUAAUACCGGAUAGGACCACUUCUUGGAUGUUGUGGUGGAAAGUUUUCUCGGUGUGGGAUGAGCUCGCGGCCUAUCAGCUUGUUGGUGGGGUAAUGGCCUACCAAGGCGUCGACGGGUAGCCGGCCUGAGAGGGUGUACGGCCACAUUGGGACGGAGAUACGGCCCAGACUCCUACGGGAGGCAGCAAUGGGGAAUAUUGCACAAUGGGCGCAAGCCUGAUGCAGCGACGCCGCGUGGGGGAUGACGGCCUUCGGGUUGUAAACUCCUUUCGCUAGGGACGAAGCGUUUUUGUGACGGUACCUGGAGAAGAAGCACCGGCUAACUACGUG